AGCACCCGCUCCCCUCCCUGAGGCACACGGCUAUGGAACAGCUAUUGGGAAUUGUCACCUCGGGACAGGAGGGCUUUGACCGGGCCUUCCUAUUGGAGGCCCUGUUGGAGCGCAUGAAGGAGGGCGGCCCCGAGGUGGUGGCUGCAACUUUGAAGGCUCUGGAGCUCUUUCUUGAUCCAGAGGACACUGUUUCAUGUCUACUCACUGCUGCCAUGCGUAGAUCUCUCAAAGGCUGAAAACUGGUGUCCACAGUCGGAGGCAGUGAGGGUUCUGGAGGAACCCAGGCUGGUUGAGGGGAUCUCUGACCUGAGGGCCCGUGUCGUCGGGAUCUAUUGCCCUUCCUUGUGGUCACCUCGGCCAUGCCGGACUCCCCAGACCUCCAGAUGGCCUCUUGUGUGGCCCAGUCUCCACCCUCUUAUACCACCGCACUCAGGGCUCAGGGCUGGGCCCAUGCACUCAAGGACGUGAUGGAGAGGAUUUCUCAGCCAACCAGCAUCUCAACACUGACCAAGAACCUGUCUAACAUGGACCCCUUCUCCAAACAAAAUGCUAUGAGUGAUUAGUAAAAAUUUGUUGGCGUAUCCAAAGUACCAUUUGAAACAAACCUGCCUUGCUUUCCUGAAACUGAUAUGAUAAUUUUUGGAUCUCUCCGCGACCUAGCUCAGCUGGUUGAAGCUGGCUGGUGUGGUAGCGGUCCAGCGGGGCAGCCUGCGGGAGAGGGCAGGGUUCAUGGUGCCGAGCCAGACCUUACUGCAGGGCCUGGGGGACGUGAGUGAGACCCAGCACCUCCACACCGCCCAGUGUGUCUACUCCCUGCUGGAGCCUUCAAUGCUGGAACUUAGCCAGAAAGACAUGCCUCAGCAGGAGGAUAUUCAUGGAAGAGUACCUGUAGAGGGCAGGGCAGACAGACAGCGUAUGGGGUGCUGCUGGUGUCACUGCUUAGAGGACUCUUAUCCAGUCUCAAGUGCCACGACGCUUCCUUCAAAAAUGUUCCUUUUUCGAAAGCAAUUGGCUGCAUAUUGUUUUUCAUCAUGUUCAAGUAAAGGCCUGGAUAUCACCAGUUACUUUAGCCACUUGGUCACACACUGAGUAAGAAGGAAGGAGGCUGACAGACGGCUUGCUUCCUGUCUGGAUUUCCUGUCAAGUGAGACAUGGUCGAACCCAGAGAAGCUGGACACCAACACGUGCUGCUACCGCCGACUGCUGUGUCGUGUGUUUGAUGUCAUCGUCGCUGGGGCACGCCAGGGGCCCAUUGCAGCCAGCUUCAGGGCCCUGAUGACGCUACUUUUUUAGGUACUGAAACUUGAUAUGUUACACAAUGGAUUUCAGUGCACAGACGGAUGCUUCACUCAACUCAUUGGCGCAUAGCAUCACUCGAAGGAUAGUCCAUCGUUCCUCUAGGCCAUGAGGAAGUUCUGUGAAGAGGCUGUAACAGGGACAGGCAAGGCCCGGGACAAGACCUGUUAGUGGGGUUGGAGGAGCUGCCGCUCAGUGGUCAGGUGGCCAGCUGCCCUGCCUACACUUCCAAAACCAUACAGAGGGCUCUGGGAGAGCCGGAGCCUGCUGGAGCAGAGCGGGCCGGGGGAAACCCACCAUUCUAAAGGACAAAGGCCCUGCUCAUGCAGCUGGUCCUGGGGAAGUACAAUGAACAGGCAGCCCCCCCACCUGAUUAAGGACCAGGCCUGCAUGGAGCUCUUCAUUGAGGCCCUGGGCACGGUGUCUAAACCCUACCCUGAUAUCCCCUGCUUCCAGAUCAUUGUCUUAUUACAGGAAGGCCAGGACACUUCUCAGGCAGUGCCAGAAGAGGGCGCUGUGUCCCGGGAGAGGGUAACACUCAUCCUAGAGCUGCUGCAGCACAAAAAGAAGUUGCAGAGGCCUCAGAUGCUAGUUCCCGCUCUUCAGCCUCCUCUCGUAGGUGCCUGGAGACGUCAACCGUGGAGCAAGACAACCUAGAGUACGCCCAAGCAUGUAGGCCAUGUCUGUUCAACGUCUACCAGAAGCUCUCCCCCGACGGAGGACCCAUCAGCAAAGGCUGAUGCCGGCAGUGCUGCAGACUCUAGACAUCACCUCUUUCCUCUCUGCUAAUGAGAUCUACAUGCUGAGUGCCGUCACUGAGACCCUGCCUCACUUCAUCACCUGGGACAAUAGGACACUGCUACAGAGUAAUGUGACUUGACUGAGGCGGGUGGCAGAGAAGGCCGCCACCACCACCCCACAGCUGGCCGUGUGACUGGCCUCCCUCAGGACCACCGUGGCCACCAAGGUUCCCUCCCAGGAUCCUGCUGUCAACCCUCGAAAAAGUACUAGAAUAAGAUGGACUCCAAACAGCCAGCUUGAUCCCCUGAUGGGCAUCUUGAAAGAGCACAUUGGUCACAUGGAGAAGGAUCAGCUGACUUCCCACCAAUCAGAGCUCACGUACUUCCUGAUUUCUUUGGACUUCCGGGCCCAGCACUGCCAGGGUGAUCUGGAGAAGACUAAGGAGAUGGAGCGCGAUCUGAUUGACUGUCUCCUGGCCUCUGCUGGUUCUUAAUAACAAAUGUGAAGGAUAAACGCAAGGCAAU